AGCGAACGCUGGCGGCAGGCUUAACACAUGCAAGUCGAACGGGCACUUCGGUGUCAGUGGCAGACGGGUGAGUAACACGUGGGAACGUACCUUUUGGUUCGGAACAACUGAGGGAAACUUCAGCUAAUACCGGAUAAGCCCUUACGGGGAAAGAUUUAUCGCCGAAAGAUCGGCCCGCGUCUGAUUAGCUAGUUGGUAGGGUAAUGGCCUACCAAGGCGACGAUCAGUAGCUGGUCUGAGAGGAUGAUCAGCCACAUUGGGACUGAGACACGGCCCAAACUCCUACGGGAGGCAGCAGUGGGGAAUAUUGGACAAUGGGGGCAACCCUGAUCCAGCCAUGCCGCGUGAGUGAUGAAGGCCCUAGGGUUGUAAAGCUCUUUUGUGCGGGAAGAUAAUGACGGUACCGCAAGAAUAAGCCCCGGCUAACUUCGUGCCAGCCGCCGCGGUAA
rnacentral:rRNA from 1 species